rnacentral:rRNA from 1 species
AGUGAACGCUGGCGGUAGGCCUAACACAUGCAAGUCGAACGAAAGCACAGUAAGAGCUUGCUCUUACGGGUGGCGAGUGGCGGACGGGUGAGGAAUACAUCGGAAUCUACUUUUUCGUGGGGGAUAACGUAGGGAAACUGACGCUAAUACAGCAUACGACCUACGGGUGAAAGCAGGGGAUCUUCGGACCUUGCGCGAUUGAAUGAGCCGAUGUCGGAUUAGCUAGUUGGCGGGGUAAAGGCACACCAAGGCAACGAUCCGUAGCUGGUCUGAGAGGAUGAUCAGCCACACUGGAACUGAGACACGGUCCAGACUCCUACGGGAGGCAGCAGUGGGGAAUAUUGGACAAUGGGCGCAAGCCUGAUCCAGCCAUACCGCGUGGGUGAAGAAGGCCUUCGGGUUGUAAAGCCCUUUUGUUGGGAAAGAAAAGCAGCAGGUUAAUACCCCGCUGUUCUGACGGUACCCAAAGAAUAAGCACCGGCUAACUUCGUG